GGAAGCGGUGGUGCGGCGCGGCCCCAGAGUUGAUUUUGAAGGAUGAUAGCGACGAGGUUGAAAAGUGAGCGACAGAAAGAGAAAAUUCCGAGGAUGAUCCGGAUGGAGACAAUGAGUGACAGAGCAGAUGGCACAGGAAGAGGAAACGGCCAUGCACAUGGGCCCAGAGGAGGGCCCUGCAUUCUGACUCUGAGCAGAAUGAAAACCUGAAUCUGACUGUCUCAUAAGAACCACUCACCCUCUCCACCCUUCUCAGCCAGCACACCUUCCUGACAGACCAGCCGAGCUGGCAUUGCUAUAAGAUUGCUUUGUGAUGUCUGAAUAUCCUGCACAGCUCACCGAUCAUCAGGAAAAGAUCUGCUUACGUGUACAUGGAGUGAGAGAAACCCUUUCCAGGUCAUCAUCAUAAAGAUGAGUGCAAAAGGAGGGGCUGGGAUCAGACCAGGAGUACACCGCACUGUAUAGGCAAAGGCCCUAACAGCAGGGGAGCAUUGUCAAUUAUAGUUUCUGUCUAACAGCCACUUGGAAAGAGUGAUCAUAACGUUGAACUGGAUAUUUUUGCAGGAUGGAUAGCUGGAAUUGGGAACAAGCAUAUUGUACUGGACAAGGGCCAAUUGUCAAAUAUAAAGCUUUUAAUCAGAUUCCAAUUCAUAACUCACCCCUGAGCCCCUCAGUUAAAUUCCAGUCUGUAACACACUCGCCAGUGAAUGUUGUUUUGGACACAGAUCACAGAACAGUACAGCACAGGAACUGGCCCUUUGGCCCACCACAUUUGUGCCUAGCAUAAUGCUAUUUUAAACUAAUCCUAUCUGCCUACACAUGGUCCGUAUCCCUCUAUUCCCUGCCUGUUCAAGUGUCUGUCUAAAUUCCUCUUAAGCAUUGUGAUUGUAUCGGCUUUUCCCACCUCCCCGGUUGCAGGUUUCAGCACCAACCACCCUC